rnacentral:rRNA from 1 species
AUUGAACGCUGGCGGCAGGCUUAACACAUGCAAGUCGAACGGUAACAUGAAGAAGCUUGCUUCUUUGAUGACGAGUGGCGGACGGGUGAGUAAUGCUUGGGAAUCUAGCUUAUGGAGGGGGAUAACUACGGGAAACUGUAGCUAAUACCGCGUAGAAUCGAGAGAUGAAAGUGUGGGACCUUCGGGCCACAUGCCAUAGGAUGAGCCCAAGUGGGAUUAGGUAGUUGGUGAGGUAAAGGCUCACCAAGCCGACGAUCUCUAGCUGGUCUGAGAGGAUGACCAGCCACACUGGGACUGAGACACGGCCCAGACUCCUACGGGAGGCAGCAGUGGGGAAUAUUGCGCAAUGGGGGCAACCCUGACGCAGCCAUGCCGCGUGAAUGAAGAAGGCCUUCGGGUUGUAAAGUUCUUUCGGUAGCGAGGAAGGCAUUUAGUUUAAUAAAACUAGGUGA